rnacentral:rRNA from 1 species
GACAGAGGGUGCAAACGUUGUUCGGAAUUACUGGGCGUAAAGCGCGUGUAGGCGGUUUCGCAAGUCGGAUGUGAAAUCCCAUGGCUCAACCAUGGAAGUGCACUCGAAACUGCGUGACUAGAGUUCUGGAGAGGAAGGUGGAAUGCUUGGUGUAGAGGUGAAAUUCGUAGAUAUCAAGCAGAACACCGGUGGCGAAGGCGACCUUCUGGACAGUGACUGACGCUGAGACGCGAAAGCGUGGGGAGCAAACAGG